CGACCGCUGGCGGCGUGCUUAACACAUGCAAGUCGACCGGAAAGGCCCUGCUUUUGUGGGGUGCUCGAGUGGCGAACGGGUGAGUAACACGUGAGUAACCUGCCCUUGACUUUGGGAUAACUUCAGGAAACUGGGGCUAAUACCGGAUAGGAGCUCCUGCUGCAUGGUGGGGGUUGGAAAGUUUCGGCGGUUGGGGAUGGACUCGCGGCUUAUCAGCUUGUUGGUGGGGUAGUGGCUUACCAAGGCUUUGACGGGUAGCCGGCCUGAGAGGGUGACCGGCCACAUUGGGACUGAGAUACGGCCCAGACUCCUACGGGAGGCAGCAGUGGGGAAUAUUGCACAAUGGGCGGAAGCCUGAUGCAGCAACGCCGCGUGCGGGAUGACGGCCUUCGGGUUGUAAACCGCUUUCGCCUGUGACGAAGCGUGAGUGACGGUAAUGGGUAAAGAAGCACCGGCUAACUACG
rnacentral:rRNA from 1 species